rnacentral:lncRNA from 1 species
GGGGCUUGGAAACAUUAACAUUUUAGUCUCCCAGGUGCUGUUCUUGUUUCCCCCAGCUCAGCUCUACUCCAUUUUCUUUGUUAGAUAUGAUAUUAGAUCAGAUUUACCUAACUACACUAACUACCUAUCUUUAAAUCUGGCUUCAACAGCAUGUUUUCUCCUAGCACAGGUGGCCAAAGCUGUUAGUGGAGUCCUAGGACACAGGCCUGAUUUCAGGGAUCCAACAAAUUGGGUCUGCUCACUUGCCCUAAAAGCCAAAUAGGGAAGGGAUAGGUGAAAACCUGAAAGAAAAUUUAAUCUGCGUAGCUACCCACAGGAUUUUCACCAUUACCCUUUCUGUUUGGUUUUUGUGGUGAGUGGCUGGACCUGAUUUGUUGAAUCCCUAGAGUCAGGCCUCAGGCCUUAGACUCUGGUAACAUUUUUAUGACCUCCCAGCUAUCUAUGUUUUUGGUGGGAUUUGACAAAUAACUGUUAUUUUUUCUCUCUGCUUUGCUUUUUACUCUCAAAAUAGCCCACAUUCUCCUUGAAUGUGCCUCUGCUUUCCUAAAUAAACCUCAGUUUAUGUUCCUUUUUAUUUUUUUUUAGUUGUAGUAGGACACAAUACCUUUAUUUAUUUAUUUUUAUGUGGUGCUGAGGAUAGAACCCAGGGCCUCACACAUGCUAGGCGAGCACUCUACCGCUGAGCCACAAUCCCAGUCCCCUCAGUCUAUGUUUCUGACUGGCACAUGCUGAAAUUUUUUUCCAUCACAUAUGCCAAGAGGCUUGCUGGUCCUGAAUCCAGUUCCUCCUCUGUGAAUUCCUAGUGUUAGGGAACAGACAGAUGUGAAUGGUGGGAACACAAGGUUAAGAGAAUAACUCUAUAAAGUGGGCCCACUGUGCAGAUACCUACAUACUUUCUUUGCCAAAAAGCAAUUUGCCUGCAGCCCUGCCUGGCCUAACUGGACAGGAUAUGUCACAUUCUUACCAAACUACCUGUUAUUUGCAAGGAAAUGCAAGCAGGAAAUAACAUUGAUAAGAGGGACCCAAGUUACUUU